rnacentral:rRNA from 1 species
GUCUGGUUAAUUCCGAUAACGAACGAGACUCCGGCCUGCUAGUUAGCGCAGUAGCGUCCGGCGGGGUGGAAUCCGGGUUCUCGUGGUGGCCUCGUGUCGCCGUCGGGUCCCCUUCUUCCCGCCCGCUGCUGCGACCCCGAGGCUUCUUAGAGGGACGGGCGGUGGCCAGCCGCACGAGAAGGAGCGAUAACAGGUCUGUGAUGCCCUUAGACGUCCGGGGCCGCACGCGUGCUACACUGGGGGAGUCAGCGCGGACCGCCUCCCGGCCCGAAGGGCGUCGGGAAAGCCGCUGAGUCUCCCCCGUGCUCGGGAUCGGGGCUUGACCAUUGUGCCCCGUCAACGAGGAAUUCCCCGUAGGCGCGGGUCAUAACCCCGCGCCGAUUACGUCCCUGCCCUUUGUACACACCGCCCGUCGCUACCAUCGGUGGACGGUCUAGCGAGGGCCUCGGACCGGCGCCGAGUAUGCUCCUCACGGGGUAUGCUCCUCGCCGGGAAGACGCCCGAACUCGGU